AAGUUGACGGGGCCCGCACAAGCGGUGGAGCAUGUGGUUUAAUUCGACGCAACGCGAAGAACCUUACCUAGGCCUGACAUCUGGGGAAUCCCUUGGAAACAAGGGAGUGCGGAGCAAUCCGAGCCCCAAGACAGGUGCUGCAUGGCUGUCGUCAGCUCGUGUCGUGAGAUGUUGGGUUAAGUCCCGCAACGAGCGCAACCCUUGUCUCUAGUUGCCAUCAUUUAGUUGGGCUACUCUAGAGAGACUGCCGGUGAUAAACCGGAGGAAGGUGGGGACGACGUCAAGUCCUCAUGGCCUUUAUGCCUAGGGCUACACACGUGCUACAAUGGAUCGUACAAAGGGUCGCGAACCCGCGAGGGGGAGCCAAUCCCAAAAACCGGUCCUCAGUUCGGAUUGGAGUCUGCAACUCGACUCCAUGAAGUUGGAAUCGCUAGUAAUCGUGGAUCAGCAUGCCACGGUGAAUACGUUCCCGGGCCUU
rnacentral:rRNA from 1 species